GGAGUUAGCCGGUGCUUCUUCUGUGAGUGAUGUCCUUCCUGCCGGCUAUUAACCCGCAGGCCUUCUUCCUCACUGAAAGUGCUUUACAACCCGAAGGCCUUCUUCACACACGCGGCAUGGCUGGAUCAGGGUUGCCCCCAUUGUCCAAUAUUCCCCACUGCUGCCUCCCGUAGGAGUCUGGGCCGUGUCUCAGUCCCAGUGUGGCUGAUCAUCCUCUCAGACCAGCUACGGAUCGUCGCCUUGGUGAGCCGUUACCUCACCAACCAGCUAAUCCGACAUAGGCUCAUCCGAUAGCGCGAGGCCCGAAGGUCCCCCGCUUUCCCCCGUAGGGCGUAUGCGGUAUUAGCCUGUGUUUCCCCAGGUUAUCCCCCACUACCGGGCAGAUUCCUAUGCAUUACUCACCCGUCCGCCGCUCGCCACCAGGGAGCAAGCUCCCCGUGCUGCCGCUCGACUUGCAUGUGUUAGGCCUGCCGCCAGCGUUCAAUCUGAGCCAGGAUCAAACUCUGA
rnacentral:rRNA from 1 species